rnacentral:rRNA from 1 species
UACGGAGGGUGCAAGCGUUAUCCGGAUUCACUGGGUUUAAAGGGUGCGUAGGCGGGCAGGUAAGUCAGUGGUGAAAUCUCCGGGCUUAACCCGGAAACUGCCGUUGAUACUAUCUGUCUUGAAUAUCGUGGAGGUAAGCGGAAUAUGUCAUGUAGCGGUGAAAUGCUUAGAUAUGACACAGAACACCGAUUGCGAAGGCAGCUCACUAAAUUGUAACUGACGCUGAGGCACGAAAGCGUGGGGAUCAAACAGG